UUAUAAAAAACAAAAACAAGGUCCUUUGUAUGUACUGAUUAAAAUUGUUUCAAAAAUGUAUCAAAAUUAUAAGAUAGUUAUAGUUGCUAUAUUAAACUUAUAUCGCAUAACACACGGUCUUAGACAUAGAAUGAAAAUCGUCAGUUGCUUACUCAAUACUGAUAGUUUUUCAAGUCUGAUUACCUCAUAGUUGAUACGAUAUUCCAGGGCUUGUGUUAUCAUGAUUAUCUACAAUGAUGUUAUCGCAAGAAAGGUUCCAAAUCGUAAAAUUGAAGUCAUAUCUUCGAAAGUUUUAUUAACGCUAUCAUGGGUCGGUUGACCGUUAAAGAUUAUCAUUGUCACAGAUGAUCACAGAUAUGUUCCACUGGUCGUUCUUAUAAUCACGUCCUCUGAUCCUCACGAAGGGCACAACUCGUAGAGCAUCAUAUCACAUAAGUUCAUCCCGGUUAUUUGGUUGGGUUCGUCUUGCUAAAUCUUUAGUUUUCUGUGUAGUGUUUUGUGUACGGUUGUUUGUAUUUUCGUAGUUUUCUUUUUGACCAUUGUGUUGACAGUUUUCUUCGACCCAUGGUUUUAUACCCCCUCCCCUUUCCCCCAUCAGUAUUCACUGUCCGACAAUCACUGUAGACACAGAAUAUCUGAAACAGUUAAUUCUAUGUCAUACAUAAAAAAAAACCAACUUUUAAUUAUUAAAAAAAUAGAGUAAAAAAUUUCCAUCUCUUGCAUAGCUGUUCACUUGUUUGCCCCUUUCUAUCGUCUAAACUUUUUCUCUACGUAGAAUCGAUUAGGGAAAAUGAGGCGGAAGACCGACGGAAUAUUAAUAAUUCAUAAGUCUAGAGAAACUGACAACGCCAUGAAAAAAAACGAAAUAUGACGAAAAAAAAAUAAAAAAGUUCAUAAAACACUACAUAGAAAACUAAAGACUCAGCAACACGAACCCAAUAAAAAUCCAGGAAGAUCUCAAGCGCUUCGGAAUGAUAAACAGAUCCCGCUCUUUUAGUGACGCUCGUCGUGUUACUCAUGAUAAAAACAAAUACGGUAAUGAGGCUCUAUCGGUGAUGUCACAAUCGAUUAAAAGAGGACAGGGUUGUGGUUACGGCAGUUGGAACUAUUCGUGUCAUUUUGGGGCCCUUUAUAGCUUGCUGUUCGGUGUGAGUCAAGGCUCCGUGUUGAAGGCCGUACUUUGACCUAUAAUGGUUUACUUUUGCAAAUUGUGACUUGGAUGGAGAGUUGUCUCGUUGGCACUCAUACCACAUCUUCUUAUAUCUAUAUAUGACAUAGAUAUUCUACAACUAUCAAAUAACUCGUUACACCGUCCGUAACACUUUCGAAGUGAUGACCUAAACUUAACCACAAGGAACCCCCACUUCAAUAGCUUCCUUGUUAUAUAUAUAUAUGUUUAAAAACUAUGUUGUUAUUUUCAACAAAAUGUUAGCAAAGUGUACAUGGUAAAUUCAUGGAUGUUAACUUAGCUUGUCAAGAAAUGAUGGAUUUCAUACGUGUUUUUUCACUAGGACAUCAAUUAAAAAUGCCUUCUAGCGUUUCAAAUGUAAAAACAUUAUAUUUUACAAGACAAUAAGAGCAUAUUCCAGUGUACUGAGAUAUGUUCAGCUUAUUACAAGUACAAGCUAACCAGACAACUAUCCAUCAAAACCUAAUUGAAAAGGAUAAGUUAAACUAUUCGACUGUGUAGUCGGUACAUAUUUAAUCUUGUUUGUUUGUUUGGUAAAAUAUCAAUACUUUGUCAUGUGUGUAACGUCAUUGUAUUUUGUACACACUCAAUAGAUAAUUUUAGUUCUUAAUGAUGAUUGUGAUUGACAAAUCAUUCAAAAUUGAUUUUUCAAAGCUGCGCACUGACAGUUCCAUCCUGAUAUCCAUAGUAUUUUAAAUGUUUGGAUUAGAUACACUGGUAGCAUGUCUUCAAUGUCUAUCCAUCAUAUGAAUAAAUAAGGAGAUAAAAGGUUCUUCUUUUGGCAAGUAAUAACAUAUGGUGCAUAGAUGACACGAUUUCAUGUCCAUACAAACGAAGUGUGUGUAUCGGUUUGUUUUUAUGAUAAGUUUCAAAGCCUGUUUAAAAUCUGAACACAAAUUGUAAGGUAAACUAAAUAUAACUAUAGGUAAAAGAUAUUAAAAGAAAAUAACACUUUAUACAGUUGUUGUGUGCCACGAAAUACGUAUGACAAACUCUCAAUUCAUUGAGGCGUAGAAAGAGGAUUGCCACAUUCUCGAGGGGCAAUCAGUCCACACUUUUGGCACUGGUAGCAAUUUCCCCAAUGAACACCACAAACUCGGCUUUGUAAAAUUCCUUCAAGGUGAGAUUUCUGCCAUGUUUUUUUUUCUUAUUUGCAGAAGAGGAUUAAAAUGUAAAACAAAUUACAGACGGCGAUGGAAUCAAAAUGGUGAUAUUACCUUACAGGACCUUUAAGGUCAUGUUAGCUAAUAUGUGCAGUAUAUAUACUUUUCGUGUUUAAAAAAAAGUUUAAAAAUAUAUAAAAUUAAUAUUAGCAAAAUUUUAAAUACAAUAUAUGUGUUCAUGAUUCUUCAUGUCUGGUAGAAGUCAAUUAUGGUACAUUGUAAAUUGUGUUGAUUAAAAGAGAUGUGAAAUGAAAAAAAUAGUGCCGAAAUUUUGCUAAGUGGAGAAAAAUAUAAAUAAUAAUCUCUUUGACUGAAAAUGAUAUUUAAGAUAGGAGUAUGCAGAUGUUGAUAUGUGGCAGUGCUGUAAUUACUGGAACACAAACAUGUUAAAUAAUUUUGGAAGUCUUUUAAGGUGCAACCAUUAAAUUUAAAGGGAUUGGGAGGACGUUAAAUGCAUAUUCUGGCUUGAUAAGAACUGAAAUAAAUACAUUUCCCAUGACAGAAUGAGAAUAAAUAUUCUGUUCACAAAAGACAGGACUAAGUCAUGUAGAAUAUUGAAAAAUUUCAGCUUUCCAGCAAUUAUUGAAAAUAAAUUCUGCAUUUUUCUGUUCCUAUAUUUUCAGGCGGAUCCCCGAAAAAUCAAAAGGUCGUUCCAUUAAGCCUUGUGAGUUCGACCUUUUAACUAAAAAGUAUGAAUGACCAUCUGUCCGAGAACUUUUCAUUGGACAGUACAGAUGAUUUAAACUCAGGUUAAAAAAUGCUUGCCAUCAUAUUUCAGUUAACCAUUCUCUGUGUGUAAAUCAAAAUUAAACAUUCAUCUUCUAUUUAGAUGAGUAACAUAAGAAAACUGUUUUGUUCAACUAGAAGUAGAAUACUUAAACAGUCCAUAUUUGUGCCUCAAUAAUGCCUAAUGCAAACAGUUAGAUAUAAUGGAGAUCAUGCAAAAUGCUUCAACCACUGAGUUACAGUUUAUAUUCAUUUAACACUUUGGUAACCGGUUGUGUGUUGACAAAUCUAAAUUUCAUCAAUAAUGUUUAACAAUGAAAUGAUCUCAAUGCAUAUUGCAUUAAAAAUGUCGAUUUGGAAUACUGCUUAUUAACAAUUUAAGAAUAUUAUUUCGCCUACUUGAAUGUAAUAGUAACAUAGCAUUUCUUUUAUAGACUGAAUUGUUAUGAAUAAGACAGCUUGAUAUGCGGCAUGGGUGUUGCUUAUUGUGAAAUGCUGUACGGUGAAUUAUAGUUACUAUCUUCUACGUCAUUUAGUCCCUGAUGGUCAGUUGCCUCAUUGGCAAUUAUACUAAAUUCCUUAUUUGAUAUUAAAUAUAUAAUAUCUCCAAUCAUACAAUAAAAAACAAUCAAUGAUUGAGUAUUUCAAUACUAACUUAAGGUAUUUAAAUAUUUGCGCAAUAAUCAAUUGCGUGUAAGCUUUUUAAACAACUGACCCUGACAAAAUUUACACACAUAUAGACGGUGUAUAAAGUCAUCAUAUUAACACAACUAUUUCAAAGAUAAAGUAAGUUGUUUUAUUAUUUAUGAACGGUUUAGUCAUCAGGUAAGCACUGUUAACUUUUUCGAUUUUGAUCAUUAUUAUUUAGCAUUAUUUUGAUUAAACCUAGAUAUAAAGUUAUAACUAGGUGCAAUUGAAAAGAGAGAGAGAAAAAAAUCAAACAGUUAGUCUGGUAGCUUUAUGUCAACUAGGGUGUAGGAAUAUGACUACUUUUUUUCGACAACGAAUUCGAAUUGAGAAGACUGUGCACUUGAAAAGGCGUCAAGGAGAUUUGGGAUUAACAACAAUACGGACUGGGUUUGAAUCAGUUCGGGAGAUUGAAAUGUAACACACUGUAUGUUUGAGACUUUACUUCCAGUUACUGUUUGUUUUCUCAGUUGAUUCAAUCUAUAGAAUCAUUUCCGAAAUUCAGAAUAUGUCUCAAAAUAGAAAAGAGAAUGUAAACGAGGAAUUUGUUAAAGAGACAACAACCCGACCAAGAGCAGAAAACAGCCCAAGGACACCAAUGGGUCUUCAAAGAAUCGUGAAAAUCCCGCACAUGGAGGCGUGCUUCAGCUGGCCCUUUAACAAUAAUAAAGUAAUGGCACUAUCACCCAUAGAUAGUAAAACGUUCUUUACGUGUCCAGAACAUGAAUCAGAGAUAGCAAGGUUCUUCUGUGAAGAUGAUCAUGUGAUGGUAUGCGAUGACUGUAUCAUAGGAAGGCACUUUGGUCAUAAAAAAAUCAAACUUAAAGAUUAUCUCAGCAACAAAAGGCAACAUUUGAUACAGAAUGUAAAAUAAAAUUAGAUAUAACAAACUUCCUAACAUACAGGAUGCAUUGGAGAAGGCACUGAAAGGCAAAACAGAUUUUAAUAAUUCUGUCGAUAAACAACUUAAGAGGGUAAAACUUAGAGGAGAAAUGGUAAAGAAAGUAUUUGACGAAUUACAAGAUGAUUAAGUCCAAAAUUUUAAAUCUGCUAGAAAUGCUGCGAACGAGAAGUUUGACAGAUUUUCUACUCGGCAGCAAUUAAGAAUAAACUUAAUCCAAGAAACUAUAAAUAUUGUGGAAUCUAGAAGUUCGGACAUGUUGGAUGCAGAGGUAGUGACCUAUGAUGAAAAACUAUCAUCAAAUCUGACGGAUGAUCCGUACUGGGACGUAGCACCGAGGAUUCAACCACCCAGACAUCAGUGCCAGGAUGAUUCAGUACAAAUAGGUAAAUUGCAGACUAUCCUUGGCUACAUGAAAUCAGGGACUUAUGCUGAAGUUGCUGAAGUUGAUAUUCUUCUUAGGCAAAAUGCGGAUCAAGACAGAAACGCAGAAACACAAGAGGAAAACUGAAGUGAUUCUUGUCCAGGAUCAAUUUUAGUUGAAGAAAGAUUUUUUGGCUGUUAAAACGUUUAAACGUACUGCCAAAGUUACCCAUAUUAUACCAAAGCAGAGUUUACAAGCAUGGCUAAUUCACAGCGAUAUCGAAGAAGUAGAUUGUAGCACGGGAAUGGUAAAAAAAAAAAAUAAUAAAAACUAUAGAAGCGAAACCACAGUGUGCCGCCCGUAAUAAUUCAAACGAGCUUAUCAUUAAGAUGUGGACCAAGAAGUCACUAAAGCAGCUGAAAUAUGAUGUACAAUUCGGAUUCAAUUUCUUCUCUAAAAAUAGAAAUUAUACCCUUGGAUUUUUAAGAACACCGCACCUUCUCAAACUGUGUGUUUAUGUACCAGUAAAUCUGCGUCUGUUAAUGGCGACGUUACAGUAUGCCUUGUCGAAAAAUCAGCAUCUGACCAAUAUCCAGUCAAGAAUUCAAUUAUUCGACGAUAUGCAAAUGACAAAACACAGCAUGAGAGUGAUCUUGUUUUGUCGGAAUUCUUUCAAUAUGUUGAAUGAUUACCUUUGUUCAUGGUAAAGGGGAAAUGAAAUUUAGAUAUCAGGCGGUCGAUCUGAAGGCUGCCAACCGAAUUGAUAAUGAAUUUGUAGGUGCUGGAUUUUUAUCUGACGGAACAGUUACAGUGUUAGAUAAAGUAGGUUUUAGACAACAUCUACUUGACAAAAAAGGCUUGUUACUUCAAACAGAUACACACGAGAGUCAGCCUGCAUGCUUGGCUAUUGCUCCUAACGAUCAUGUCUGGAUCGGUUUUGAUGAUGGACAAUUUAAAAUAUUUGCAUAUAGAAAUGAAUAUUCUGAGAUUUUAUUAAGAGCUUAAAGCAUGAGGAAAACAAUUUAGAAUCAAACAAAGAAAGAAAACUAUGCAUGUUAACAGUGGUUUCAUCAUCAAUGCAAUCUAAAAUUGUGAGAGAUGGAUAACAUAAUUAUGUUAACCUUUCAUUAUUCAAAUUCUUUGAAGGACGCAUAAAAUGUGUUUAUAAAUUUUGUUCUAUAUAAAUCAGACUUUCCACGGCUGCCAUUCGGUAUAUCUAAACAAAUAAUAGUAAAAGAAUAAGUCACGGUUAUCAAGUAUAAUAAUUGCGAUCGGAUCUUGAACUUUUUGGUGUGGGAUUGUGAAUACAAUAGAAAUACUUCAACUUCAAAAUCUGUGGAUAUAUCCAUUAUGUUAUCAAACGAUGGAUCAAAUGAAAAAAAAAUAUGUCUGUCAAAAUUAUAAUUAUUUUUCAAUAGUACUGCGUAUUUUAUUAAGGGAGAUUAACUAUAUACCGCCGUUUUUGGAUUGUAAAAAAGCAGUACACAAUAGUUCUUUGCUAAAAUCAGCAAAUAUUUAGACAGAUUGACAAUUAAUGUACUAGACUGUUAGUUUGAAUAAAGAAAAAUAAGUGAUUUAAUGCAUUAUUCAUACUGUUUCAACAAAUACUAAAUACUUGUUUUUGUUCGAUGCAAUUUUUCAACUUAGCCAUAUAAGGGGUGAUAACUCUUAAAGUAAAAUUUUUAUACUGGAA